rnacentral:sRNA from 1 species
UUCGCUGCUGGAUAAGGGUAUUCUAUACCAGAGUCAUCCCGUGCAUACCCCACUGUUUUUUUAUCCGCCUUAUUGACGGGGCAUCCUUAGCUUGUUGUCUUUGCCUCAAUUAUUAGUUGAAUUGGAAUGAUUUCUUUUCCAGGAUCCAGGGGGCACCAUGCCCGAGCCAAACUUCUGUAUAAGUCUUUCAGGAUCUACACCAUGCGGACCAAGAAGACUCUGGUCAGAGUUUUGGUUUGGUUACACGCUGGCAGGCCAAGGUCAAGGUUAUUUCGGGCCAGAAAAAG